UACGUAGGGUGCAAGCGUUAAUCGGAAUUACUGGGUGUAAAGGGUGAGUAGGCGGCACGGCAAGUAAGAUGUGAAAGCCCGAGGCUUAACCUCGGGAUUGCAUUUUAAACUGCUGAGCUAGAGUACAGGAGAGGAAAGCGGAAUUCCUAGUGUAGCGGUGAAAUGCGUAGAUAUUAGGAAGAACACCAGUGGCGAAGGCGGCUUUCUGGACUGAAACUGACGCUGAGGCACGAAAGCGUGGGGAGCGAACAGG
rnacentral:rRNA from 1 species